AAUGAACGCUGGCGGUAGGCCUAACACAUGCAAGUCGAACGGCAGCACAGUAAGAGCUUGCUCUUACGGGUGGCGAGUGGCGGACGGGUGAGGAAUACAUCGGAAUCUACUUUUUCGUGGGGGAUAACGUAGGGAAACUUACGCUAAUACCGCAUACGACCUACGGGUGAAAGCAGGGGAUCUUCGGACCUUGCGCGAUUGAAUGAGCCGAUGUCGGAUUAGCUAGUUGGCGGGGUAAAGGCCCACCAAGGCGACGAUCCGUAGCUGGUCUGAGAGGAUGAUCAGCCACACUGGGACUGAGACACGGUCCAGACUCCUACGGGAGGCAGCAGUGGGGAAUAUUGGACAAUGGGCGCAAGCCUGAUCCAGCCAUACCGCGUGGGUGAAGAAGGCCUUCGGGUUGUAAAGCCCUUUUGUUGGGAAAGAAAAGCAGCAGGUUAAUACCCCGCUGUUCUGACGGUACCCAAAGAAUAAGCACCGGCUAACUUCGUG
rnacentral:rRNA from 1 species